AAGAGUCUCGCUCACUGUGUGAUCAUCGUUUGAGCCCAAAGUGCUAAAAUACAGGUGUAGGUGUUUGAGAAGCGCUGUAGUUGAUCAUGGACGAAAUGCCUAAUUUAAGGAGCAGAGGCGGAGUGGAAAAUGAAAAAAGCUUCACCGCAGUGGAGACUUGUUAACAGCCCAGGGGAGAAAGGGGCUUAACAGAGUCUGAAAAUCGUGAAAGAGCUUGACCGAUGAAAUGGGCCUGGCUGUCGUAUCGGUAAUUUGGUGAAUGUUGCUUAAGAUCAGCCUGGAAAGGUAGUUAGUCAGAUCCGAAGUGACAUAUUUGCACUGCCAAAGGAGCCUCUGGAGGUUAAAGUAUGUGUUUUAAUUUCGUUGUUGAGGCCAUAUAAUGCAGAGUUGACGGACCGACCUUAUGAGUCACCUUGGAGCGGAGUAGUGGAGACUUAAAGACAGACUACCCUGGAGCUGGCUUCAAACUAGUUCUUAAUAUUGUGACUCGAAGUCCCCAUCCCCAGAAAUUCUCAGAUCUUAGAAGCCAAAGACUGGCAAGGAUACUAGAGGGAACUACUCGAGUAGGCGAGGUCAGACUACAUACCGAAUAGGAGUCCUUCCAAAAAUACAGAAGGCUGAGGCCGGGGUGCUAGAGAACCUUGCCGUGCUGGAAUUCACGUUGACGCCCCCACGGAGCUCUGCUGCAGAGCCCUCGAGUCCCGCACUUCCGGCCGCCAGGUGGCGCUGGUUCUGUUGCCAACUCGGAGAGACUGAGCUGGGCCACGCAAGAUGGCGCCGUCCGCCUUGCUGCGUCCUCUCUCCCGGCUGCUGGCCCCCGCCAGGCUCCCGAGCGGCC
rnacentral:sRNA from 1 species